rnacentral:rRNA from 1 species
CUGGGGUCCAACCUGCAGUCGAACGGUGAGCAGGAGCUUGCUCUUGUGGAUCAGUGGCGAACGGGUGAGUAACACGUGAGCAACCUGCCCCUGACUCUGGGAUAAGCGCUGGAAACGGCGUCUAAUACUGGAUAUGUGACGUGACCGCAUGGUCUGCGUUUGGAAAGAUUUUUCGGUUGGGGAUGGGCUCGCGGCCUAUCAGCUUGUUGGUGAGGUAAUGGCUCACCAAGGCGUCGACGGGUAGCCGGCCUGAGAGGGUGACCGGCCACACUGGGACUGAGACACGGCCCAGACUCCUACGGGAGGCAGCAGUGGGGAAUAUUGCACAAUGGGCGAAAGCCUGAUGCAGCAACGCCGCGUGAGGGAUGACGGCCUUCGGGUUGUAAACCUCUUUUAGCAGGGAAGAAGCGAAAGUGACGGUACCUGCAGAAAAAGCGCCGGCUAACUACGUGCCAGCAGCCGCGGUAAUACGUAGGGCGCAAGCGUUAUCCGGAAUUAUUGGGCGUAAAGAGCUCGUAGGCGGUUUGUCGCGUCUGCUGUGAAAUCCCGAGGCUCAACCUCGGGCCUGCAGUGGGUACGGGCAGACUAGAGUGCGGUAGGGGAGAUUGGAAUUCCUGGUGUAGCGGUGGAAUGCGCAGAUAUCAGGAGGAACACCGAUGGCGAAGGCAGAUCUCUGGGCCGUAACUGACGCUGAGGAGCGAAAGGGUGGGGAGCAAACAGGCUUAGAUACCCUGGUAGUCCACCCCGUAAACGUUGGGAACUAGUUGUGGGGUCCAUUCCACGGAUUCCGUGACGCAGCUAACGCAUUAAGUUCCCCGCCUGGGGAGUACGGCCGCAAGGCUAAAACUCAAAGGAAUUGACGGGGACCCGCACAAGCGGCGGAGCAUGCGGAUUAAUUCGAUGCAACGCGAGAACCUUACCAAGGCUUGACAUAUACGAGAACGGGCCAGAAAUGGUCAACUCUUUGGACACUCGUAAACAGGUGGUGCAUGG